rnacentral:rRNA from 1 species
GACGAACGCUGGCGGCGUGCCUAAUACAUGCAAGUAGAACGCUGAAGGAGGAGCUUGCUUCUCCGGAUGAGUUGCGAACGGGUGAGUAACGCGUAGGUAACCUGCCUGGUAGCGGGGGAUAACUAUUGGAAACGAUAGCUAAUACCGCAUAACAGUAGAUAUUGCAUGAUAUCUGCUUGAAAGGUGCAAAUGCAUCACUACCAGAUGGACCUGCGUUGUAUUAGCUAGUUGGUGGGGUAACGGCUCACCAAGGCGACGAUACAUAGCCGACCUGAGAGGGUGAUCGGCCACACUGGGACUGAGACACGGCCCAGACUCCUACGGGAGGCAGCAGUAGGGAAUCUUCGGCAAUGGACGGAAGUCUGACCGAGCAACGCCGCGUGAGUGAAGAAGGUUUUCGGAUCGUAAAGCUCUGUUGUAAGAGAAGAACGAGUGUGAGAGUGGAAAGUUCACACUGUGACGGUAUCUUACCAGAAAGGGACGGCUAACUACGUGCCAGCAGCCGCGGUAAUACGUAGGUCCCGAGCGUUGUCCGGAUUUAUUGGGCGUAAAGCGAGCGCAGGCGGUUAGAUAAGUCUGAAGUUAAAGGCUGUGGCUUAACCAUAGUACGCUUUGGAAACUGUUUAACUUGAGUGCAAGAGGGGAGAGUGGAAUUCCAUGUGUAGCGGUGAAAUGCGUAGAUAUAUGGAGGAACACCGGUGGCGAAAGCGGCUCUCUGGCUUGUAACUGACGCUGAGGCUCGAAAGCGUGGGGAGCAAACAGG